rnacentral:rRNA from 1 species
ACUCCUACGGGAGGCAGCAGUGAGGAAUAUUGGACAAUGGGUGGAAGCCUGAUCCAGCCAUCCCGCGUGCAGGAAGACGGCCCUAUGGGUUGUAAACUGCUUUUAUCUGGGGAUAAACCUACUUACGUGUAAGUAGCUGAAGGUACCAGAAGAAUAAGCACCGGCUAACUCCGUGCCAGCAGCCGCGGUAAUACGGAGGGUGCAAGCGUUAUCCGGAUUUAUUGGGUUUAAAGGGUCCGUAGGCGGACUGAUAAGUCAGUGGUGAAAUCCGACAGCUUAACUGUCGAACUGCCAUUGAUACUGUUAGUCUUGAGUAAGGUUGAAGUGGCUGGAAUAAGUAGUGUAGCGGUGAAAUGCAUAGAUAUUACUUAGAACACCAAUUGCGAAGGCAGGUCACUAAGUCUUAACUGACGCUGAUGGACGAAAGCGUGGGGAGCGAACAGGAUUAGAAACCCUUGUAGUCCCAGGAU